rnacentral:rRNA from 1 species
AGAGUUUGAUCAUGGCUCAGGAUGAACGCUAGCGGCAGGCUUAAUACAUGCAAGUCGUGGGGCAGCAGGUCCGUAGCAAUACGGAUGCUGGCGACCGGCAAACGGGUGCGUAACACGUACGCAACCUUCCUUCAGGUGGGGAAUAGCCCGGGGAAACCCGGAUUAAUACCCCAUAAUAUCUUGAGAUGGCAUCAUCUUAUUAUUAAAGCUUCGGCACCUGAUGAUGGGCGUGCGGCUGAUUAGGUAGUUGGCGGGGUAACGGCCCACCAAGCCUACGAUCAGUAGCUGAUGUGAGAGCAUGAUCAGCCACACGGGCACUGAGACACGGGCCCGACUCCUACGGGAGGCAGCAGUAAGGAAUAUUGGUCAAUGGACGAAAGUCUGAACCAGCCAUGCCGCGUGGAGGAUGAAGGUCCUCUGGAUUGUAAACUUCUUUUAUUUGGGACGAAAAAGGGAAAUUCUUUUCCACCUGACGGUACCAGAUGAAUAAGCACCGGCUAACUCCGUGCCAGCAGCCGCGGUAAUACGGAGGGUGCAAGCGUUAUCCGGAUUCACUGGGUUUAAAGGGUGCGUAGGCGGAUAGGUAAGUCCGUGGUGAAAUCCUGCAGCUUAACUGCAGAACUGCCGUGGAUACUAUCUAUCUUGAAUGUCGUGGAGGUUAGCAGAAUAUGUCAUGUAGCGGUGAAAUGCUUAGAGAUGACAUAGAAUACCCAUUGCGAAGGCAGCUAACUACGCGAAAAUUGACGCUGAGGCACGAAAGCGUGGGGAUCAAACAGGAUUAGAUACCCUAGUAGUCC